UUUUAUUUUCUCUGUGUUUUCA
rnacentral:miRNA from 1 species